rnacentral:rRNA from 1 species
AACGAACGCUGGCGGCAGGCCUAACACAUGCCAGUCGAGCGCACUGUCGGGGGAGCGGCGGACGGGUGAGUAACGCGUGGGAAUAUGCCCUUCUCUACGGAAUAGCCCCGGGAAACUGAGAGUAAUACCGUAUACGCCCUCUGGGGGAAAGAGUUAUCGGGGAAGGAUUAGCCCGCGAUGGAUUAGGUAGUUGGUGGGGUAAUGGCCUACCAAGCCGACGAUCCAUAGCUGGUUUGAGAGGAUGAUCAGCCACACUGGGACUGAGACACGGCCCAGACUCCUACGGGAGGCAGCAGUGGGGAAUCUUAGACAAUGGGGGCAACCCUGAUCUAGCCAUGCCGCGUGAGUGAUGAAGGCCUUAGGGUUGUAAAGCUCUUUCAGCUGGGAAGAUAAUGACGGUACCAGCAGAAGAAGCCCCGGCUAACUCCGUG